rnacentral:rRNA from 1 species
GACGUAGGGCGCGAGCGUUGUCCGGAUUUAUUGGGCGUAAAGAGCUCGUAGGCGGCUUGUCGCGUCGAAUGUGAAAACUUGGGGCUCAACUCCAAGCUUGCAUUCGAUAUGGGCAGGCUAGAGUUCGGUAGGGGAGACUGGAAUUCCUGGUGUAGCGGUGGAAAUGCGCAGAUAUCAGGAGGAACACCGGUGGCGAAGGCGGGUCUCUGGGCCGAUACUGACGCUGAGGAGCGAAAGCGUGGGGAGCGAACAGG